rnacentral:rRNA from 1 species
UACGAAGGGGGCUAGCGUUGUUCGGAUUUACUGGGCGUAAAGCGCACGUAGGCGGAUUGUUAAGUCGGGGGUGAAAUCCUGGAGCUCAACUUCAGAAUUGCCUUCGAUACUGGCUUUCUAGAGGCUGGAAGAGGUUAGUGGAAUUCCCAGUGUAGAGGUGAAAUUCGUAGAUAUUCGGAGGAACACCAGUGGCGAAGGCGGCUCACUGGUCCGGUACUGACGCUGAGGUGCGAAAGCGUGGGGAGCAAACAGG